GGGUAUAUAGCUCAGUGGUAGAGUGCGUGCGUAGCAUGCAUGAGGUCCUGGGUUCAAACCCCAGUACCUCCA
rnacentral:tRNA from 1 species